UACGUAGGGGGCAAGCGUUGUCCGGAUUUAUUGGGCGUAAAGAGCGUGUAGGCGGCUAGGUAGGUCCGUUGUGAAAACUCGAGGCUCAACCUCGAGACGUCGAUGGAAACCAUCUAGCUAGAGUCCGGAAGAGGAGACUGGAAUUCCUGGUGUAGCGGUGAAAUGCGCAGAUAUCAGGAGGAACACCGGUGGCGAAGGCGGGUCUCUGGGGCCGAUACUGACGCUGAGGAGCGAAAAGCGUGGGGGAGCGAACAGG
rnacentral:rRNA from 1 species